rnacentral:rRNA from 1 species
UACGUAGGGGGCAAGCGUUAUCCGGAUUUACUGGGUGUAAAGGGAGCGUAGACGGUGAAGCAAGUCUGAAGUGAAAGGCGGGGGCCCAACCCCCGGACUGCUCUGGAAACUAUGUGACUGGAGUGCAGGAGAGGUGAGCGGAAUUCCUAGUGUAGCGGUGAAAUGCAUAGAUAUCACGCAGAACUCCGAUUGCGAAGGCAGCAUACCGGUGCACAACUGACGCUCAGGCACGAAAGCGUGGGUAUCGAACAGG